rnacentral:rRNA from 1 species
UACGGAGGGUGCAAGCGUUAUUCGGAAUUACUGGGCGUAAAGCGCACGUAGGCGGCCUUGUAAGUCAGGGGUGAAAUCCCACGGCUCAACCGUGGAACUGCCCUUGAAACUGCGGGGCUUGAAUCCUGGAGAGGGUGGCGGAAUUCCUGGUGUAGGAGUGAAAUCCGUAGAUAUCAGGAGGAACACCGGUGGCGAAGGCGGCCACCUGGACAGGCAUUGACGCUGAGGUGCGAAAGUGUGGGGAGCAAACAGG